UUUUUUUUUCGAAAAUACCCGUUUAUUUUUACUUUUUUAACGUUUUUAUACCGCCGUCUUAAGAAUUAAUUUCAACAUUCUUUCCAAAUAAUUUUUUUUAAAAAGUCAGGUCAAGGUGAAGCUCUAAAUAAGGUCCUAAUAAGUUAUUUAUUAAAAAAAUUAAAAGAAAUUAGAUCAAAAUCUCUUUAAAUUAAGAUUUAACAGUAUUAUUAU
rnacentral:rRNA from 1 species